CGGUGACGUUGUGAGAAGUUCAUUAAACCUUAUCAUUUAGAGGAGGAGAAGUCGUAACAAGGUUUCCGUAGGUGAACCUGCGGAAGGAUCAUUG
rnacentral:rRNA from 1 species